rnacentral:tRNA from 1 species
AAAAAUUUAGUUAACCCCCCCCAUAACAUUAGCUUGUCAAGCUAAAGUCGUCAUCUAUGACAAUUUUUG